UCUUAGCAAGAUGAUGAGUUCUUCUUGAUG
rnacentral:piRNA from 1 species